GACGAACCGUGCGAACGUUGUUCGGAAUCACUGGGCUUAAAGGGCGCGUAGGCGGGUUCCCAAGUCCGGGGUGAAAUCUUUCGGCUUAACCGGAAAAUAGCCUCGGAUACUGGGAGUCUUGAGGGAGGUAGGGGCAGCUGGAACUUCCGGUGGAGCGGUGAAAUGCAUAGAUACAAUCAAGAACACCGAUUGCGUAGGCAGCUAACUAGGCUGUAACUGACGCUGAGGCACGAAAGCGUGGGGAGCGAACAGG
rnacentral:rRNA from 1 species